rnacentral:lncRNA from 1 species
UUUAUCCCCAAAAACCUUCCUCUCAAUCGUAUUCCUCUCUAUCGUAUUCCUCUCUUGCACUCUCCGAACUUGGUUUAAUCGGUUUUUAUAUAGAAGUUUUGUUGAUUUUGUGGGUCUGGCGAAAUCUUUGGUAUCGUGAAGUGGGUGGCUAAAUUUUGAGGCAUCUGAGCAAAUUUCCUCAAAAUAGAUUCUCUCCCUGAUUCCCUAAAUUCAACAGCGGUGAUUUUAGCCAUGUAAGUUAUUUUGAUGCCUUUUUAACUCUUUUCAAUCUAUCCAUGGAGGUUGUCGACUUGCUCUAGGGCUUGUGUAUUUAUAUUUAUAUCGAUUUGUUGUAGGAUUGCUCUAGGGCUGUGAAUCUGAUUUUUUUCUUAAUUUUUUGUUUUUUCUAUUAUAUUUUUGGUGCCAAACCAGUAAUUUUUUGGUGAAAUAGUGUUUUCUCUCAUCUAUACCAUAUUUCGCCCUGCGAAAAGAAACAAAAAUAGUUAAUUACAUGAUAUAUUCCUGUUUUUACCUUAAUUUUUAUCUGGUAUAACUUUGUUGUGUCAAGGAAUAUACUUAGUUUGCCAUCAUAUCGUACUUCUCGAAUCUAAACAUUGUAGCAUGUAAGUCAAUUCAAAAGUAGCUGGAGUCGGGUUCAAUUAUUUAUUUACAUAUUUGUGUCUAAAUUUAGUACACAUUUAGAACAGAUGUUUUAGUAAAUGAGCACACAUCUGAACCAGAUAGAAUCAUAUUUUAGUAAUAAAAUCUUGCAAGAUCCAGAGUAUACAGAAUUCCAAUUGAUCUUUAUUUUCGCACAAACCAUUAUGAUAUGUGUAAUUGAAGGAUGAUUUUUGUUCGCAAACUUGAAAACAAGUGCCAUACUGUACAGGUUGCCAGGAUAACUUUCACCUAGCGAAUGACUCUGCUUGUGGUUAGUUAUUCCAGUUUUUCAAUGUAUGGCUGGCUUCCUGUCUUAUGGUGUGACAUGCAUGAAAAAAGGAGUUAACUAAAGAUGCAAGUGUGAUCAACCAAUGUAACAAUAUCUUGGAUGAACUUUGCAGGGAGAGUCUUGAUCUACUGUGGUGCAUCUGAUUUGUAGUAUUCACGUUUUCAAUGAUUCUUUUCAUAUCCAUCCAUGAAAAGUGGGAUUGGCCACCUGAAAAAUAAGACAAAUUAAUUGCUAGAACAGGUUUGAGGAGGGUGGUGUACGCAGACUACCUUACCCCGAGGGAAUAGAGGGAUUGUUUCCAAUAGACUCGGCUCAAGAACAAAGUAUGUUGAUAGGGUAAAAAAGAAUAAGUAGCAUUAAUUGCUUUCUUGGUAGAUAGAGACUAUAGGAAGCGUGACUGCUUGUACCCUGCCGUCUAAAUUUGAACAUUUACAGGUCUAGUAAAACUGGCAAAAAGGAACUGCACCCACUCUACCAAGAUAAACAUAUACGCUAUUCACAUGUUUGAAAUACGCUAUUCAGUGAUUUGUUUUAAAAGCUUUUUAAGUCAAAAUGUUUCAGUGAAUAUAGAGUAAAAUUACCAAUUGUGAAUGGAUUGCUUAAGAGGAUGACACAGAUAGUUCAACUGCCUUUGACCUUGGAUUCUGAUAGCUUCCAAUAGUACAUAAGUUCCAUAAAUUGUUGACAUGAAUAUUUCAACAUCUUUAUCAGCAUAAACUCCUUUGAGUAUAAUAAGUUUGUUUUUGUAUCUAAGGCAAAAUUAUUUCUUGUUCUCUUUGCUCGAAUGCUCCGUCUAUGAUAAUUUAUAUUUUUAAUUUUUGCAUGCUCCUCCUCCUUAAACUCCUUUGAGUAUAAUUAGUUUGUUUUUGUGUCUAAGGCAAAAUUAUUUCUUGUUCUCUUUGCUCGAUUGCUCUCCAAGUAAUCCUUAUCUGAUGUCAAUUUUUAUUUUUUAUUUUUGCAUGCUCCUCCUUGUUAAACAAUAGAACCUUCAUUGGUUGUAUAGAUACUAUUAGCUGAGAGAAAGUCUAUUUCUGGUAGCCGAUGAGAAAUCAUUGCUGGUAGUUUAGGGAAUACUAGUUGCUGGUAUGUUUUUUUAAUUUAUAUUUUUGGUAAUUGAAUUUGCUCGUAGUGUAUUUGUCUAUUUCUCCUAUUUAUAUUGUUAUGUAUGUUACUCUGAAUUAGUUUUUAUUGCUAUCUUAGGGUUUAACUAAUGAUGCCUUGAGUUAAGUUACAACAUGUUGUUCAAGUCUAAGUUUUUUAAAACUGAAUGCAUGUGUUGGGUACGACCCUAAAUUAAAGUACUACAAAUGACAGAAUAGGCAAGCAUUGUUAUUUAAUAUUGUUCCGUAACUUUAUAGUUGCAGGACUACAAAAAAGUCAACCUAUUUUUUAGAGUUACCCAACUAGCUAGAUAUUUAUUAUGUCAGCAUGUAUAAAAAUCAUAAAAAUUAUACAAAUGCACUAUGUUAAAGUUGAUUAUGUUUGUUAAAAUUAAAGAUAAAUAUCCCACUUCUCUUCAAUUGCUCCUCCUUCUGAGUUUUCACUCUUAAAAGAAUUAGUCAAUAUCUUAUUAUAUGUAGGUUUAUUUGGUUAAUUUUAUUAAUUUAACUUUAUCGUAUAGGAUUUCAAUGGAUAAUGGAGAUAAAAGUUGGAUGUAUCUCCUAAGAUGGACGGAUGAGUAUAUCCGUGGGGCGAACAAUUUUUUUGAUAAGGCAUUUGAACGAGCUUCCCAGGGAAAUGAAAUAUUAUGCCCUUGCAAAAAGUGUAAUAAUCACUAUUAGCACUAUAGAAAUGUGGUGGAGGAUCACUUGGUUGUUAACAGUUUUGUUGAUGGUUGAACAAUUUUAUUGAAAAGGCAUUUAACGAACUUCCCAGGGAAAUGAAAUAUUAUGCCCUUGAAAAAAGUGUAUUAAUCGCUAUUGGCACUAUAGAUAUGUGGUGGAGGAUCACUUGGUUGUUAACGGUUUUGUUGAUGCUUACACCAAAUGGGUUUUCCAUUGGAAAGGGUUUUCCUCUAGAAAUGCACUUCACAAAAGCAAUGAUGAUGAACGUUCUAACAUGCGCGAUGAUAUUGAUGAAUUACUUCAUGAUACAUUUAGGAAUGUAGAAUGUGAGGCAGAGCAGGAAGAAUAGAUGAGAGAGACUCUAUCUGAAGAUGCAAAGAGAUUUUUCAGAUUAUUAGAGGAAGGCAAACAAGAACUAAAUCCUGGGUGUGAACCUUCACUAAAUUGAGUUUUACUAUUCGGUUGUAUGUGUUUAAGUCCUUGCAUGGAUUGAGUAAAGAGUUGUUAAAAGAGGCAUUUCCCUUUGCUCAGUUGCCAGAAUAUUUCAACAAGGCUAGAAACAUGAUAAAAGAUUUAGGUCUUCAUUAUGAAAAAAAUACAUGCAUGCCCUAAUGAUUGCAUGUUAUUUACGAAAGACAAUGCAAACGACGAUAAUUUCUUUGUUCGAGGUGCUUCUCGAUGGAAAGUUUUUGAUGCUUCCUUAACUAGAACAAAGCGAAAAGUCCCAGUAAAGGUUUUAAAGUACUUUCCCUUAAAGUAUAAGCUUCAGAGGAUAUUCAUGUAUCCUGAAACAGCCAAUACAAUGACGUGGCAUGCUAAUGAACGACGCACUGAUGUGAAUAUGAGGCAUCCUGUUGAUUGAGAAGCUUGGAAGGAUUUUCAUUCUCUACACCCAGAUUUCUCCAGAGAUCCACGUAAUGUGAGGUUGAGUCUUUCAAGUGAUGGUUUCAACCCAUUUCGAACCAUGAGCAUUUCUCCUAGCACGUGGCCUGUCAUGUUAAUGAACUAUAAUUUAUCACCAUGCAUUUGCAUGAAGCAAGAAUAUAUCAUGUUGUCAAUGAUCAUUCCAGGUUCUUCUUCUCCAGGAAAUGAUAUAGAUGUGUAUCUACAACCAUUAAUUGAAAACUGAAGGAAGUAUGGGAAACUGGGAUAGAAAUAUAUGAUGCUGAGACAAAGCAAACAUUCCAAAUGUGUGCAACCUUAUUGUGGAUAGUUAUUGAUUUUCCAGCUUUAACAAUGCUUUCAGGCUGGAGCACCAAAGGUAGAUUGGCAUGCCCCACUUGUAUUUGCGACUCAUGCUCACGAUAUCUCAAAUACAGUCAUAAGAUGUGUUACUUGGGUCAUCGAAGAUUUUUGCCUCCUGAUCAUCCAUAGAGAAAAGAUAAGAAGUCAACAACAACAAUAAUAAUACAUAUUGAUAUAGGUUUUGUGUAUUGAAUUUAAAAUGAAUAAAAGGAUGUAUAUUAGACUGUUUGGG